AGCGAACGCUGGCGGCAGGCCUAACACAUGCAAGUCGAACGAACUCUUCGGAGUUAGUGGCGGACGGGUGAGUAACACGUGGGAACGUGCCUUUAGGUUCGGAAUAACUCAGGGAAACUUGUGCUAAUACCGAAUGUGCCCUACGGGGGAAAGAUUUCUCGCCUUUAGAGCGGCCCGCGUCUGAUUAGCUAGUUGGUGAGGUAAAGGCUCACCAAGGCUACGAUCAGUAGCUGGUCUGAGAGGAUGACCAGCCACAUUGGGACUGAGACACGGCCCAAACUCCUACGGGAGGCAGCAGUGGGGAAUCUUGCGCAAUGGGCGAAAGCCUGACGCAGCCAUGCCGCGUGGAUGAUGAAGGUCUUAGGAUUGUAAAAUCCUUUCACCGGUGAAGAUAAUGACUGUAGCCGGAGAAGAAGCCCCGGCUAACUUCGUGCCAGCCGCCGCGGUAAGAC
rnacentral:rRNA from 1 species